rnacentral:rRNA from 1 species
AACGAACGCUGGCGGCAGGCCUAACACAUGCAAGUCGAGCGAGACCUUCGGGUUUAGCGGCGGACGGGUGAGUAACGCGUGGGAAUAUGCCCUUCGGUUCGGAAUAGCCCCGGGAAACUGGGAGUAAUACCGGAUACGGUCUACGGACGAAAGAUUUAUCGCCGAGGGAUUAGCCCGCGUUGGAUUAGGUAGUUGGUGGGGUAAUGGCCUACCAAGCCGACGAUCCAUAGCUGGUUUGAGAGGAUGAUCAGCCACACUGGGACUGAGACACGGCCCAGACUCCUACGGGAGGCAGCAGUGGGGAAUCUUAGACAAUGGGGGAAACCCUGAUCUAGCCAUGCCGCGUGAGCGAUGAAGGCCUUAGGGUUGUAAAGCUCUUUCAGCUGGGAAGAUAAUGACUGUACCAGCAGAAGAAGCCCCGGCUAACUCCGUGCCAGCAGCCGCGGUAAU